GACGAACGCUGGCGGCGUGCUUAACACAUGCAAGUCGAACGGCAAGGCCCUGCUUUCGUGCGGUGCUCGAGUGGCGAACGCGGGAGUAACACGUGAGUAACCUGCCCUUGAUUUUGGGAGAACUUCAGGAAACUGGAGCUACUCUCGGAUCGCAUCCCCUGCUCCAUGGUGAGGGGUGGAACGUUUCGGCGGGUGCGGAUGGAUUCGCGGCUUACGAACUUGCUGGUUGGGUAGUUGCUUACCAAGGCUUUGACGGGUCCGCGGCCUGUGAGGGUGGCCGGCCACAUGGGUACUGAGGGACGGCCCAGACGCGUACAGGAGGCAGCAGGGGGGAGUAUGGCACAAUGGGCGGAAGUCGGAGGAAGCAACGCCGCGUGCGGGAAGACGGCUUGCGGGGAGUAAACCGCUUUCGCCUGUUACGAAGCGGGAGUGACGGUAAUGGGUGAAGAAGCACCGGCUAACUACGUG
rnacentral:rRNA from 1 species